rnacentral:rRNA from 1 species
UCACCCAGGCGACGACCGGUAGCCGGCCUGAGAGGGGCGACACACACCUGGGACUGAAGACACGACCAGACUCUACGGAGGCAGCAGUGGGGAAUAUUGCACAUGGGCGAAGCUGAUGCAGCGACGCCGCGUGAGGGAUGACGGCUUUCGGGUGUAAACCUCUUUCAGCAGGGAAGAAGCGAGAGUGACGGUACUGCAGAAGAAGCGCCGGGCUAACUACGUGCCAGCAGCCGCGGUAAUACGUAGGGCGCGAGCGUUGUCCGGAAUUAUUGGGCGUAAAGAGCUCGUAGGCGGCUUGUCACGUCGGAUGUGAAAGCCCGGGGCUUAACCCCGGGUCUGCAUUCGAUACGGGCAGGCUAGAGUUCGGUAGGGGAGAUCGGAAUUCCUGGUGUAGCGGUGAAAUGCGCAGAUAUCAGGAGGAACACCGGUGGCGAAGGCGGAUCUCUGGGCCGAUACUGACGCUGAGGAGCGAAAGCGUGGGGAGCGAACAGGAUUAGAUACCCUGGUAGUCCACGCCGUAAACGUUGGGAACUAGGUGUGGGCGACAUUCCACGUCGUCCGUGCCGCAGCUAACGCAUUAAGUUCCCCGCCUGGGGAGUACGGCCGCAAGGCUAAAACUCAAAGGAAUUGACGGGGGCCCGCACAAGCAGCGGAGCAUGUGGCUUAAUUCGACGCAACGCGAAGAACCUUACCAAGGCUUGACAUACACCGGAAAACCGUGGAGACACGGUCCCCCUUGUGGUCGGUGUACAGGUGGUGCAUGGCUGUCGUCAGCUCGUGUCGUGAGAUGUUGGGUUAAGUCCCGCAACGAGCGCAACCCUUGUUCUGUGUUGCCAGCAUGCCUUUCGGGGUGAUGGGGACUCACAGGAGACUGCCGGGGUCAACUCGGAGGAAGGUGGGGACGACGUCAAGUCAUCAUGCCCCUUAUGUCUUGGGCUGCACACGUGCUACAAUGGCCGGUACAAUGAGCUGCGAUACCGCGAGGUGGAGCGAAUCUCAAAAAGCCGGUCUCAGUUCGGAUUGGGGUCUGCAACUCGACCCCAUGAAGUCGGAGUUGCUAGUAAUCGCAGAUCAGCAUUGCUGCGGUGAAUACGUUCCCGGGCCUUGUACACACCGCCCGUCACGUCACGAAAGUCGGUAACACCCGAAGCCGGUGGCCCAACCCCUUGUGGGAGGAAUCGUCGAAGGUGACUG